rnacentral:rRNA from 1 species
GACGUAGGAUGCAAGCGUUGUCCGGAUUUAUUGGGCGUAAAGAGCUUGUAGGCGGUUUGUCGCGUCUGCCGUGAAAAUUCGAGGCUCAACCUCGAACUUGCGGUGGGUACGGGCAGACUAGAGUGUGGUAGGGGAGACUGGAAUUCCUGGUGUAGCGGUGAAAUGCGCAGAUAUCAGGAGGAACACCGGUGGCGAAGGCGGGUCUCUGGGCCGUAACUGACGCUGAGGAGCGAAAGCAUGGGGAGCGAACAGG